rnacentral:misc_RNA from 1 species
AUUCAUGGCAGUUACAUCCACACCCACACACUCCGCCACACUCACACCCACAUUCAUGGAUUUACAGUUGAGGCAAGCAGAUAGGCGAAUACAUAUUAUUUGUGAAUAAUGAAACUGAAGUAAAGCAGAGGGAAAAGAAAGGAACAGGGAGAAAGAAGGAAAUAGAGGAGGGAAGAGAGGAAGAAAGGGAGAGAGGAAGAGAGAGAAAAAGCACAUAAGAUGCAAAUUGCUUAAGUCAAAGAACUUUUAUUAGAGAGGGAAGAAGAAUGUUAUUGGUUACAUAGACUUUAUAGUAACCACAGCUAAACAUAAUUCAGUCAUGACUUAUACCCAACACAACCAAAUUUACUUUUGUCUUUACUAUUAUUGCCGGUUUGCAAAACCAAGUUACACAUGUUAAAAUGACAAGAAUGCCUUCAAAUAACUUAAACAAGCAUCUAUUUUUAUAUAUUACAUUAUGUAUAACUGUUGUCUGUGUUCAAUGUCGGGAAACUGCAGAUGAAGACAUCGUUAAGAAAGGACGUGAUGUCAUCAAUAAUUUAUACCAACGUUUCCCGGGAAAAGAAGUUGACCUUGUCUUUAUACUUGACCGAUCAGCCAGUAUUCCACCCCAAGGUUGGAGUUCUAUGAUAACAUUUAUCCGUUCCAUUCUUGAACAUUUCUCAGUGACUGGAGAACAUACAAGAGUUGCUGUUAUAACGUAUGGUUCCCAUGUUAGUUUGGAAAUUAAUGAUUUAAAUGAGAAACACACUACAAAAUGUUCUUUAAUGAAACAAAUAAAACAAAGACUAGAAAAGAAAGUAAUGGCAGGUUAUACUGCCACCUAUGAUGCUUUGAAAAGAGCACAAAGUAUUCUUUUAAACUCAAGGCGAAAUGCCAAAAAGGCUGUUUUUGUCUUAACUGAUGGAAAAUCAAAUGUUGGCCCAAAUCCUGUGCGGGCUUCACUGGAAAUCCGUGCCCUUCGUUGGAAUAGCAAGUGGAAUUCUACAGCCCAUGGUCCUCAAGUUGAAAUUUAUGCAUUUGGCAUCAAAGAUGCUAACUUACCCGAGUUGGAAUACAUUGCUUCACAACUGAAGAACCAUACAUUCUUCAUUCCUGAUUUUUCGACCUUCUCACUUCUUGCCAGACAGCUUCAUAACGGCAGUCAGAAAGAAAUCUGGGAAGUUGCAAACAGGAAUUUCUGUAAUGAAAAAUGUUCUAAGAAUGCUGUGUGUUCAUGUGGAACAAGGGUUGGUCAAUACCAGUGCAUCUGUAAUGCUGGAUAUGAAGGUGAUGGUAUCACAUGUAAAUUGUGUCAAAAAGGUUACUUCAAAAGAUCAUUAAGUCCUGGAAAAUGUCAACCAUGUCCUCACAAUUCCACUACCUUCAAGGAAGGAGCUGAAAUUAUUACAGAAUGCAUUUGUCAUCCAGCUUACUACAGAGAAAGUCCAAGUGAUAUCUGCAGAUUACAUUAUUGUGAGAAACUGAAAGAUAUCAAGCAUGGCUACAGUUUUCAUGUUGAGGGAGCCAUAAAAGAUGAAGUACCAAACACAAAUAUUUCUUGUAAAAACACGCCUAAAGAUUCCUGCCAUUAUCAGUGUGAUGUUGGUUACAGACUAGAUUCUAAUCCAGUGUUAAUAUGUGAACCCAAUGGAACUUGGUUCGGUACCGUUCCAAAAUGUAGAGUUGUUGAUUGUAAAACAUUGACUGAAAUUGGUGAAGAUGUUGAAAAUGGAAACAUCGAAUAUCCUAACAAGACCACUACAUAUGGCUCGUAUGUAAGGGUAAACUGCCGAUCUGGUUGGCAGGCAUUUGGAGACAAAGUACGAAAGUGUAACAGCCAUGGAGUAUGGUCUGGCACUCGUACCUGGUGUGUUGAAGCAAAAUGUAAGCCUUUAUCUUCUAUUGAUGAAGGUUCGCUUAGACCUCAUGACUGUUCCAAAAGAAAUAGCAAUCCAGGUGCAAUAUGCAGAUAUACAUGUAAAAAAGGGUACAAAUUAAUUGGACCUUCUCAGAGGAAAUGUGGUAAUCAUGGAGAAUGGAAUGUCACCAAAGAAACUAAAUGCGUUGAUGUCGAACCUCCAAAAUUUAAAUGCCCAGCAGACAUGACUGUACCUGCAAUAAACCAGGGUUAUGCUAUUGUCCAUAUAAAUACUGAAAACCUUGAAAUGAGUGACAAUUCUGAAUAUGUAAGAUUAACACACAGUGGCCUUACUGAAAACCCUGCACGAUUUAAACUGGGCUUCCACCAAAUUGAAUUCGUUGCCAUAGACAGAGCUGGAAAUAAGGUCUCCUGUAUACAGCGUAUAAAUGUUCUACAAGAAACAAUCACGAUGAAGUUUUGUCCUUCAAAUAUAAACAUUACCAUUGCAUCUGAAUUCCAAGUUGCAGUCACUUGGCCGGAACCAGUGUUUCUAGACAAGGAUGAUAGACCUGUUGAAUACUACUGUUCCCAUCCGAACGGGUCAAAGUUUAUCGUUGGUCACUACAAUAAUAUCUGUGCUCCUGUAAAAGAUUAUGGCCAGAAUGUUAAAUGUAUAUUUUCGAUCACUUUAGGAAGAAAAAGCUGUGAGAAACCAGAUCCACCCAAAAAUGGUGCCCUAACCUGUACAAGCCAAAAUAAACUGUAUCUACAAGUAUGUUUGGUACAUUGUAGUGACAAUUAUGAUUUUGUCGAGUUACCUGAGGAACAAUAUCUAUGUCUUCUCAAUGGUAAUUGGUCUACGGAAUUAUGGCCAGACUGUUCAUCUGUUCACAUUCCUGGUGCUGCUGCCAUGGAGGCAAUGCUUGAAUAUUAUUACUUCACUGGAGAUUGUGUCAAAGCACAUGACCAAAUUCGUGGUAUGUUCCAUAGAAAGUUAAGUGACCAUAUUGAUAAAUACUGCAGUAAAGCAGAGUGCAGUGUCGAGGAUAUUGAAGUAAUAUGUCAUGAAACUGAAGAACGUAGGAGAAGAGAUACAAGCCAUGCAAGGAGAUUUAGAUUAUAUAAACGUGACCAAACAGGUGUUGCUCAAGUCUUAAAGAUACGGUUUAAAAUUGUAGGUGUAAUAAUGAAAAGCAACAUUACAGAAAAGGAACAAUUUAAGCUGCGAAGAAUUUUAGGACUAAUAAACCUUGAGAUAAAGAAACUAGAUGAUUUAAAUAUAACAUCUAAUGUUAGUAAUCUCAUUGGUGACCUAAGUGUAGCACAAUAUUCCAGUGGAAAAAUUGAAAUUCAGGCAAACUGUGGAGACAAAAAUAUGGUAACUGUUCAGUCUUCUACAACAAAGAUGUGCUUGGAUUGUCCUGUUGGCCACUUCUAUAGAAAUAAUAGCUGUAAGCCAUGUCCUGUUGGAGAAUAUCAAGAUAAAGAAGGACAGAAAAGUUGUAUUAAAUGCCCUCCAGGAACCAGUACUACAAAAACAAAAUCCAAGGAUAGAGACGAUUGCCGAGAUUUCUGUCGACCAGGCACUUUCUCCAGUAAUGGAUUUUCUCCCUGCCAACAAUGUGAACUUUCCACAUAUCAAGAGAACUACAAUGCUACUUCAUGCCAGAAAUGUCCUGGUUCCUCAAUAACCACUACAUUUGGAGCAAACCACUUCUCAAACUGCAGUACACCUUGCUCUCCUGGCAGUUAUAACAACAAAACAGGUUUGGAACCUUGUACACUGUGUCCGAAAUUUACUUACCAACCAAACAGUAAAUCCAAAAAAUGCUUCCUAUGUCCCUCGAAUAGCAAGAGUCAAGAACGGGGAGCAAAAUCCAUCCAUCAAUGUUUAUAUAAAGACCACUGUAAAAAACCAGGAACAAACUUAUCUGUAUGUGAGAACAAUGGUAUUUGUCACAAUAACUAUGGUAAUUUCACCUGUGAAUGCUUGGAUGGAUAUGAAGGCAAACUUUGUGAAAAAAAUAUUGAUGAAUGUUUGAAGGGCAAAUGUUAUAAUGGAGGAACCUGCUAUGAUGGAAUCUUCAAAUUUUCUUGUAAAUGUCGUUCAGGAUACACAGGUUCUCAGUGUGAAGAGGAGAUCAAUGAGUGCGAGUCUUCUCCUUGUAAAAAUAAUGGAUCAUGUGAAGAUCAAUUGAAUGGUUUCAAGUGUUAUUGUCCACAACAGUUCAGUGGUAAAUAUUGUGAGAAUGAAUUUAGUUAUUGUCAUUCUUCUCCUUGUUCCCAUCAUGGUGUCUGUGAACAUCUGGGGCACACUUUCCGUUGUCACUGUGAUCCUGGAUUUGCUGGCAGACAUUGUAAUCUGACAAUUGACCAAUGUAGAUCUCAUUAUUGUUUGAAUGGUGGUACCUGCAAGAAUUCAUUAAACUUUCCAGUCUGCAACUGUUUGCCUGGUUUCACUGGACAAAAUUGUGAAAACGAGAUUGAUGAAUGUGAAUAUAACAGGUGUAAAAAUGGUGGACAAUGUAUUGACCUCUUCAAUGACUAUCAUUGUUCUUGUAUUGAUGGAUACGCUGGCAAGAACUGUCAACAAGAGGUCAGCCCCAAUUUUGAUCUGGUGUUUCAACAUGAAGGCAUAACAAAUUAUGUUCAGGUUUGGUUUUUCCCUAACCCUGUAGAGAUCACCAUCACUUUUUGGAUGAGAACUUCUGAUGUUUCUAGUUUGGGAACAAUGGUUUCCUAUAAGAAGGAAAGCAACGAUAUCUUCAACCCUGAUAACUUUGCACUUUAUGACUAUGGAAGUUUGCAGCUGUGUGUUAAUGGAAAGAAGGCUAUCAUCGGCAUCUCACUCAACAAUGGCAUGUGGCAGCAUGUUUCUGUAACUUGGGCCAGUAAGGAAGGAAAAUGGCAGCUUUAUCGGAAUGGCACAAGAAUUGCACAUGGAGAAGGACUUGCUACAGGGACCAUGUUGCCUGUAGGCGGAAAGUUGUUUAUCGGACAAGAUGCCAAUGUACAGUAUGGGGCAGCGAAUGCCUUUGAAGCUUAUAUAGGGGAAAUAACUCAGAUGAACAUCUAUGACCAGGUUCUGAACGAUUCCGAAGUGAAAGAUAUUGCCAAUCAAGUGACUUGUAACCAAAAAUUUGGUAAUGUGUUGACUUGGAGCGAAUUUGCACUAAAUGUAAAAGGAAAUGUUACGAUUAGACAGAAUUCUUGGUGUCUUGAUAUUAAUGAAUGCUUGUUCCCUGAAGUGUUUCCAUGUACUCCACCCAUGCUUUGUAAUGACACUCUUAAAAGUUAUGAGUGUAUUAGCUGUAUCUAUGGUUACGAAGGUCCUAAAUGUGAUAAAAGCAUUGAUGAGUGUCUCCUUGGUGUUUGCCUCAAUGGUGCCAGCUGCAUUGAUGGGCCCAAUCCAUAUGAUUAUGUCUGUACCUGUGCUCCUAACUUUGUGGGGAGAACUUGUGCAGAUGAAUUGAAAGAUUGCACUGAUGUUGGCAAAUGUCAUCCAUCCGAAAGGUGUAUUACUGAUGGUAACAAAUUCUACUGCCAGAAGAGUGGUCAUACUACUAUUGACUCUCCAACCAUUGACUGUUCUAAGGAGAAUCCUUGCAAAAAUGGUGGAACCUGUGUGGCUGAUACAAACCCUAACAGAUGUAAAUGUACCUCCAAGUUUAAGGGAAAGUAUUGUGAUGUUGCAUUUCAGCCAACAUGUAAACUCUCACCUUGUCUGAAUGGUGGUACAUGUGUUCCACUAACCAACCACAAUCUCAAUCAGGGUUACAAAUGCAUCUGUCCACAGCGCAUCAAUGGUUCUGUUGUAGAUUUGGAUGACAACUGUGCUUUACAAAAUCCAUGUGAUUCCUAUCCAUGUCAAAAUAAGGGUAUAUGUCUAAGUUCUAAAGAGGAUGGAUUCAAAUGCGAAUGUGCUGAUUAUUUUAAGGGAAAAUAUUGUCAGAAGCUCACACCAGAAUCUCUAAAAUGUGAUGAUAAUAUGAUAUGUCACAACUCUGGUACCUGUGUUAGACGCAAUAUGACUGCAUAUGACUGUAAAUGUACUUUUAGGUACACAGGAAAAUUAUGUGAAACUCGUAAAAAACAAGUAAAGAAAUCCUAUGAUGUUACUGUUGAGGUCCAAUAUCCUUUCUCAAACUCCAGGUCCGAAGAAUUUUCAGCUGAAUUUGAAAAGGAGCUAAAAUCAUUAUACGAGAAAGUUAUGAAAAAUGUCCAGAUAAAAGUGAAUAUUAAAAAGCUGAAGCCUGGCUUUUCUUUUAAUGAUACUGUGGUUCAAUUCAGAAUGAUUCUCAUUGAAUAUAUAAACUCUGAUGACCGUGAAUCAGUUACAAGUGAAUAUCCAGUAAAACGAGUCAUUGAAGAUGCUUUGUUUCAAAACACACUCGGUGAAUUUAAGGCAUCUCACCGGCAGUUCCAAUUUAAAGAACUCUAAACUCUGAACAUAAUGACUGGAAUACAAUACAACAAACAACUAAUCCUGCUUACAGUCCAACACUUAUCCGAAGACCUCCUCCACCCAUUCCAAUUGAAGACAAUCAUUAUGCAGAACUUUCAGAUGUGGU